rnacentral:rRNA from 1 species
GCAGCACGGGGGCAACCCUGGUGGCGAGUGGCGAACGGGUGAGUAAUAUAUCGGAACGUGCCCUGGAGUGGGGGAUAACGUAGCGAAAGUUACGCUAAUACCGCAUACGAUCUACGGAUGAAAGUGGGGGAUUCGCAAGAACCUCAUGCUCGUGGAGCGGCCGAUAUCUGAUUAGCUAGUUGGUGGGGUAAAAGCCUACCAAGGCGACGAUCAGUAGCUGGUCUGAGAGGACGACCAGCCACACUGGAACUGAGACACGGUCCAGACUCCUACGGGAGGCAGCAGUGGGGAAUUUUGGACAAUGGGCGCAAGCCUGAUCCAGCAAUGCCGCGUGAGUGAAGAAGGCCUUCGGGUUGUAAAGCUCUUUUGUCAGGGAAGAAACGGUGGGCUCUAAUACAGGCCACUAAUGACGGUACCUGAAGAAUAAGCACCGGCUAACUACGUGCCAGCAGCCGCGGUAAUACGUAGGGUGCAAGCGUUAAUCGGAAUUACUGGGCGUAAAGCGUGCGCAGGCGGUUUGGUAAGACAGAUGUGAAAUCCCCGGGCUCAACCUGGGAAUUGCAUUUGUGACUGCCCGGCUAGAGUGUGUCAGAGGGGGGUAGAAUUCCACGUGUAGCAGUGAAAUGCGUAGAGAUGUGGAGGAAUACCGAUGGCGAAGGCAGCCCCCUGGGAUGACACUGACGCUCAUGCACGAAAGCGUGGGGAGCAAACAGGAUUAGAUACCCUGNUAGUCCACGCCCUAAACGAUGUCUACUAGUUGUCGGGUCUUAAUUGACUUGGUAACGCAGCUAACGCGUGAAGUAGACCGCCUGGGGAGUACGGUCGCAAGAUUAAAACUCAAAGGAAUUGACGGGGACCCGCACAAGCGGUGGNUGAUGUGGAUUAAUUCGAUGCAACGCGAAAACCUUACCUACCCUUGACNU